GAAGGCGACCGAGACAACGACGGAUCCGCAGUCGACAGAGAUGCUGCAGACAGCGAACGUUUUCUAAAGAGGAGGAGGAAAAAAUGGAGCAGAAAAGCAGCAGAGUGUAGAGGACUCAUCCCGCUGUCGUCUACAUCUUCCAUAGAAGUUACUGGAAUCAGCAGCUUCAGAGCGCUGAAGAACACACACAAAGAUACACAGCAGAGUCUCCACCACCUCUAGGUGUCCUCCCUGAGCAGCGAGUGCCAGCGGCGUGAGACCGUAGUGGCUGCGA